rnacentral:tRNA from 1 species
CCCGGGCCCGCCGCCGGGAACUGGCCGAGGCACUGGACGUGCUCGGCGUGGACCGCCGGACCCGUCACCGGCUC